rnacentral:rRNA from 1 species
CAGCCGCCGCGGGAAUACGAAGGGUGCAAGCGUUAAUCGGAAUUACUGGGCGUAAAGCGUGCGUAGGCGGUGAGUUAAGUCUGCUGUGAAAUCCCCGGGCUCAACCUGGGAAUGGCAGUGGAUACUGGCUCGCUAGAGUGUGUCAGAGGAUGGUGGAAUUCCCGGUGUAGCGGUGAAAUGCGUAGAGAUCGGGAGGAACAUCAGUGGCGAAGGCGGCCAUCUGGGACAACACUGACGCUGAGGCACGAAAGCGUGGGUAGCAAACAGGAUUAGAUACCCCCGUAGUCCCUGUCUCUUAUAC